UACGUAGGGGGCAAGCGUUGUCCGGAAUCAUUGGGCGUAAAGCGCGUGUAGGCGACUCGGUAAGUCCGCUCUGAAAGUCCAGGGCUCAACCCUGGGAUGCGGGUGGAUACUGCCGGGCUCGAGUCCGGAAGAGGCGAGUGGAAUUCCCGGUGUAGCGGUGAAAUGCGCAGAUAUCGGGGAGGAACACCAAUGGCGAAGGCAGCUCGCUGGGACGUGACUGACGCUGAGACGCGAAAAGCAUGGGGAGCCAAACAGGG
rnacentral:rRNA from 1 species